CUUGCGUCUCUGUUUGGCCCGCGAUACCGUCACAACAGAGACAGUUGGCGCACCGGCGCCGUCGUUGACUAACUUCAAACAGAUUUCCUGUAGACAAACGUCGAGAGCUUUUUUCUCUACAAACAGUAUGGACGGCAUGCUAUCCUAGGCUGCCUGGCUGCCUGCCUGACGAGGUCCAAUUGGCGACGAUCUGUUACGAUCUUGACAGAAGUUAAAACACCGCAAAGAUGGACCUUGCGUGGCGAGCAACCAGGAGCUACAGGAAGCUGCGAGAUUCCAUGACGUCUCAUUGUUUUCGCGCCAAGUGGUGGCCGUGGUCGAAACAGAUGUAGUAUGGUCAGAGACGGCACGUCCGCCGCAUCCAAGUCGCGAUUGGGCACCAGACGCAUCUGGGAUAGGAAUUGAAGGUGGCCGUGGACUCUCAAUGGUAUCAUCAGAAUUUUGGUGUCGCUGGGAAGGUCCCUCUGGGCAGCUUUAUCACAACCAUGCUAGUGUUGAAUACCUAUGAUGCUGUUGUAACAUAACGUUAUCAUACCACAAAAAGAUGGACACUUGUUUCAUAUGAAGGAAUGAAAGACACGGGCGUGGAGAGUAGAUCCGAGGACAGUGGGCCUUGGCUCGCCCUUGCUCCGAUUAGCUCCAGCUUUAUAUAGUGUAUUGAAUGGAAACAUCAUUGGACUAUA